rnacentral:rRNA from 1 species
CCUACGGGAGGCUGCAGUGGGGAAUAUUGGACAAUGGGGGCAACCCUGAUCCAGCCAUGCCGCGUGUGUGAAGAAGGCCCUCGGGUUGUAAAGCACUUUCAGUGAGGAAGAACGCCUGGUGGUUAAUACCCAUCAGGAAAGACAUCACUCACAGAAGAAGCACCGGCUAACUCCGUGCCAGCAGCCGCGGUAAUACGGAGGGUGCGAGCGUUAAUCGGAAUUACUGGGCGUAAAGCGCGCGUAGGUGGCUUGAUAAGCCGGUUGUGAAAGCCCCGGGCUCAACCUGGGAACGGCAUCCGGAACUGUCAAGCUAGAGUGCAGGAGAGGAAGGUAGAAUUCCCGGUGUAGCGGUGAAAUGCGUAGAGAUCGGGAGGAAUACCAGUGGCGAAGGCGGCCUUCUGGACUGACACUGACACUGAGGUGCGAAAGCGUGGAUAGCAAACAGGAUUAGAUACCCGAGUAGUC